rnacentral:rRNA from 1 species
GUAGGGUGCGAGCGUUAAUCGGAAUUACUGGGCGUAAAGCGUGCGCAGGCGGUUUCGUAAGACAGACGUGAAAUCCCCGGGCUCAACCUGGGAACUGCGUUUGUGACUGCGAGGCUAGAGUACGGCAGAGGGGGGUAGAAUUCCACGUGUAGCAGUGAAAUGCGUAGAGAUGUGGAGGAAUACCGAUGGCGAAGGCAGCCCCCUGGGUUAGUACUGACGCUCAUGCACGAAAGCGUGGGGAGCAAAC